rnacentral:rRNA from 1 species
GGAUCAUUAAAGAGUUUAAUAAAACUCCUAAACCCCUGUGAACUCACUAUGUUGGAUUCUCGCCAGAGAUAGUCUGGUUUCUGCUUCGCGGAUCGCCUGCCCGUGACACCUGUCACAGGUAGGUAUGCUUCUGCCGCGGGUCCGCAGGUAAAUCGUCUGUUUCACAAGGGACGGCGAUUUUACCUGUGGAAGAGGUCCGCUAACUAUAUUCUUAGUAUAGUUUGUUCACUAGAUCAAACAUUCUGAAUAAAAACUUAAACUAGUUAAAACUUUCAACAACGGAUCUCUUGGUUCUGGCAUCGAUGAAGAACGCAGCGAAAUGCGAUAAGUAAUGUGAAUUGCAGAAUUCAGUGAAUCAUCGAAUCUUUGAACGCACAUUGCGCCCAUUAGUAUUCUAGUGGGCAUGCCUGUUCGAGCGUCAUUUCAACCCUUAAGCCUCUGUUGCUUAGCGUUGGGAGCCUACAGCCUGCUGUAGCUCCUUAAAGGUAGUGGCGGAGUCGGUUCACACUCUAGACGUAGUAAAAUCUUUAUCUCGCCUAUAGAUGAGCCGGCGCCUUGCCGUAAAACCCCUAAUCUUUCACAAGGUUGACCUCGGAUCAGGUAGGAAUACCCGCUGAACUUAAGCAUAUCAAUAAGCGGAGGAAAAGAAACCAACAGGGAUUGCCCUAGUAACGGCGAGUGAAGCGGCAACAGCUCAAAUUUGAAAUCUGGCCUUCGGGUCCGAGUUGUAAUUUGCAGAGGAUGCUUUGGGCGCGGUGCCUUCCGAGUUCCCUGGAACGGGACGCCUUAGAGGGUGAGAGCCCCGUACGGUUGGACACUAAGCCUCUGUAAAGCUCCUUCGACGAGUCGAGUAGUUUGGGAAUGCUGCUCUAAAUGGGAGGUAAAUUUCUUCUAAAGCUAAAUAUUGGCCAGAGACCGAUAGCGCACAAGUAGAGUGAUCGAAAGAUGAAAAGCACUUUGAAAAGAGGGUUAAAUAGCACGUGAAAUUGUUGAAAGGGAAGCGUUUGCGACCAGACCUUUUCCCAGCGGAUCAUCCGGUGUUCUCACCGGUGCACUUCGCUGGGUUGAGGCCAGCAUCGGUUUCCGCAGGGGGAUAAAAGCCUGGGGAACGUAGCUCCCUCGGGAGUGUUAUAGCCCCUCGCAUAAUACCCUUGCGGGGACCGAGGACCGCGCU